rnacentral:lncRNA from 1 species
CGAGGUAACCGUCUUUCCGACGAGGUCUCUGAGCUAUUCGCGCUCGGAAGGGUGGCCCCGGGGACCGCGGAGCGGCCUGUGGCACCGUAGGGGCUAGGCAGCUUGCAGCCGAGUCCCGGGGCGCAGGAAGCAGAUCUUCCUCUCCAACCCCCGCCCUCCCUGCUCGGCGCACACCUCCUCCCUGACGCAUUUUGCCGCACAAGCUGUAAUAUGGCGGCAGCGACAGCGGCCUCGGCUCUCGGGAGCUAGGUUCUUUUGGAUGCUUCCAAACCGAGAGACUGAGCGCUGCAACGUGGAGUACAUUCCUUGGGCCAUGAGACGCUCUCUUUUUUGUUUGUUUUUGAUCACCAGUACAUCUAA